AACGAACGCUGGCGGCAGGCUUAACACAUGCAAGUCGAACGGUUGUAGCAAUACAGCAGUGGCAGACGGGUGAGUAACACGUGGGAACCUUCCUAGGGGUACGGAACAACUCAGGGAAACUUGAGCUAAUACCGUAUACGUCCGUGAGGAGAAAGAUUUAUCGCCCUUAGACGGGCCCGCGUCGGAUUAGCUAGUUGGUGGGGUAACGGCCUACCAAGGCGACGAUCCGUAGCUGAUCUUAGAGGAUGAUCAGCCACACUGGGACUAGGACACGGCCCAGACUCCUACGGGAGGCAGCAGUGGGGAAUCUUGGACAAUGGGCGCAAGCCUGAUCCAGCCAUGCCGCGUGAGUGAAGAAGGUCUUCGGAUUGUAAAGCUCUUUUGCCAGGGACGAUAAUGACGGUACCUGGAGAAUAAGCCCCGGCAAACUUCGUGCCAGCCGCCGCGGUAA
rnacentral:rRNA from 1 species